rnacentral:rRNA from 1 species
AAUAGAUACCCGGGUAGUCCACCCGUAAACGUUGGAACUAGUUGUGGGUCCAUUCCACGGAUUCCGUGACGCAGCUAACGCAUUAAGUUCCCCGCCUGGGGAGUACGGCCGCAAGGCUAAAACUCAAAGGAAUUGACGGGGACCCGCACAAGCGGCGGGGCAUGCGGAUUAAUUCGAUGCAACGCGAAGAACCUUACCAAGGCUUGACAGUACGCGAGAACGCCGUAGAAAUACGGAACUCUUUGGACACUCGUGAACAGGUGGUGCAUGGUUGUCGUCAGCUCGUGUCGUGAGAUGUUGGGUUAAGUCCCGCAACGAGCGCAACCCUCGUUCUAUGUUGCCAGCACGUAAUGGUGGGAACUCAUGGGAUACUGCCGGGGUCAACUCGGAGGAAGGUGGGGAUGACGUCAAAUCAUCAUGCCCCUUAUGUCUUGGGCUUCACGCAUGCUACAAUGGCCGGUACAAAGGGCUGCAAUACCGUGAGGUGGAGCGAAUCCCGAAAAAGCCGGUCCCAGUUCGGAUUGAGGUCUGCAACUCGACCUCA